GAAGACUUCCUGGAACUCCCUCAUUAGUGCUCCUUCUUUAUACUCAUCAUAGUCUUUGGUAAUGUGUACGAUCACUGGCCUUUCUAGCCUGUUCAACGACUAGAUCCUCGCACAGAUAGCUGUGACCUACUCGUCUCUUUCUCUCUGGGACCCCGCACUGGGCCCAGGGCAUAACAGGGCAUGAAAAAAUAUCUGCUGAACAGAACUAAAAGGAAUUCUUGCUGCAUUAGCAGAAGUAGUAAUAAUAAUAAUGGCGAUAUUAUCAGCCCUAUUAGAGGAAUGAGGGACUGCGGCCCAGGGGCAGUGAAGGGGCUUGCUCAUCCUGGUGGCACAGCCCAUAAAUGACAGGACACAACUGGUACUUGAACCCGAGCAAGCCUGUUGAUUCCAAGGGCUCGAGUACACAUGGCUGGGCUCUUCACCCACACGGGCGUGGCGUGCAGUGACUGACCAGUGCUCCUCGGCCAGGAGACUGAAAACAAGAGCACCCGUUGACAGAAUGAUUGCUCCUGACCAGGAAUUGUCGGAGCACUCCAUUUCCAGCAGCUCACUUAACCCUGACCUCAGCUUCGGGAGCCCUGCCAGCGGUUUGAAAGGAGAGGCCGCCUAGGUCUGCACCCAGGGGUGAGCAAGCAAGGGAGAAGCCCCCAGGACGCGAAGCAAAGGCCAGGCCUGUUGCAUGCUUUCCAAGACUCAGAAGUCCUGCACAUACAAUUUCAGUUGUUGCCCGAAGCCUCUACGCCCCCGUCGCGGUGCCACCUGCACUCUGAUGGUCCUCGGGUUGUGUGGCAGCUACUUGUGGACGUGUCGUUCAUCCUAAUAAGCACGAGAGAGAUGCAGAGACACAGGCAGAGAAAGAGGCAGAAGGAGAUGUAGGAUCCCUUCAGGGAGCCCAACGUGGAACUCAAUCCCAGGACCCCAGGAUCACACCCUGAGCGGAAGGCAGAUGCUCAACCAUUGAACCACCCAGGGCCUGACCUUCUGCGAUAAGUCCAAGACCCCAGGGAUGUUUCCUCUGUGCUCCUUGGAGUCAGUAUGGUUCUCUAGCCUCAAGGAGAGAAAACAAGAGAAUUUGCCUAAAGGGCCUCUGCAUUCCAUUCUAAAUGGCUCUUGUGGGUGUUUGGUGUUGCCAUUGAAACAAGUGGUCCAGGGGCCCUCUUCAAUUUUCCCUCCCCUAGAAUCAUGCUCAACCAUGGGAACUGAACCCCACAGAGCCCUGGACUCCCAGCUCUUUCGUGUACACACACACACACACACACACACACACACACAGGUAACUCCUCACGAUGCCUGAGUCUUUAUUGCUGAGGGGAAAUGAGAUCCUUUCCUUUACCUCCCAAGCCCUUGGUCUAUUUACAUUUACUGCCCUAGAAUAGCUUCCAUUCAGUCGAUAACCUCACUUGUUCCAAUGGUGGUAACAGCAACCAUUCAUAGAGAGCCCAAAGUGGGCAAGUCGUUCUCCUGUUGUUUCUUUACAAACAUCCAUCCUCAUAAUGAACCUAUGAGGUAGGUACCAUUCUUCCUACCUCUCAAGUAGUCUAUGAAGUUCAAGUAUAUUGAACGGUUUGCUGGAGACCCACAGCUGGCAAGUCAAAAAUCUUAGAUUUUAAUCCAGGUGUGUCUAACUCCAAAGCCCACACUCAGAACCACUACCCUUAUGAAGGGAUAUAAGCAAGAAAUUCAUUAUAAAUGGUAAAUAACGAAGUAAAAUUGCAUCACCACAGUGAGCACAGUUGUGCAAAAAUAUGUCUGCAUGUUGAGAAUAUUUGCUGUGCAACAAAGACAGGAUUACGUAUGCUUCUUCUCCUCUUAAGUAAUUUCCCUCAGUGACAGCUGCCAUAUGGUUUUUACAAUUUUAAAAAAGUUGUCUUCCAUCUGCAAAAAUUCCUGCCUUUAGCCUACUAAGUUCUUAGCAUUGGUUGCACAUGAGAAUCACCUUGUCUAUUUGAAAAGAUACCCAGUGCCUGGGCUCCAACACAGAUGAAGUAAAUCAAGCUCUCUGGGGGUUGGGUCCAGGCAGCAGUAUUUUAAGAGCCGAUUUUAGCGUGCAAGUAGGAUUGAAGACUAACUUCGUGGAGAAGCUUCACCUCCCACUCUUCUUCCGGAGAAUCUAGCUGCCUUGUGUUCUGCAACCCUAUGCUACUUAACUCAAGCUUUUUGCUCUGUGCCCAGGAAGGGGCAAACAAUAUGACUGUUUUUUUUUUUUUUUCCAAUCUUUUUUGCAAGGAGGCCCUUGAGAGGACUUUUUGGCUGAUGGAAAUAUCAGCCAAAUACUACAUCUCAAUGGCUACAUGACUGUAUACAUUUGUCAAAACUCAUGAAAUUGUAUAAUGAAAAUUGGCCAGUUUUAUUUCAUGGAAGCCUAUACUUUAUUAAGACAUUUUUUAAAAAGAUAUGAAUCUUGGGAAGGAAGAAAUAAAAUUUAUUUAUUCACAGAUUGUAUGUUUUGAAUGUAAGGAAAUCUAAUAUAAAGUAUUAAAUAAGUAAAUUGUCAAGGGAGCUGAAUACAAGGUCGAUGUACAAAACACAUUUAUACCUCUACAUACUAGCAGCAAACAACUAGAAAAAAUUUUUAGGAUACAAUUUAUAAUACAGGAAACACAAAAUAACUAGGAACGACUCCAAUGAAAGAUUUUGAAGACCAGUAUACAGCCAACCAUAAAACAUUCCUGAGAGAAAUUAAAGAAAAAUGAAAUAAAUUGAGGGAUAAACCAUGUUCAUGAGUUGGAAGACAUAGGAUGGAUAGGAUAUGAAUUUCCCUUAAAUGAAUCUACAGACUUAAUGCAAACUCAAUAAAACUUCCAGGAAGCUUUCUUUUUUUUUUUUUUUAAAGUGGAUAUUGGCAAGUUUUAAAAUUUAUAUGGAAGCAAAGGACAUAGAAUAGCCAAGGCAUUAUCGAAGAAGAUUAACAAAGCUGAGGACUUCCACUACCAGGUAUAAACUUAUUAUAAAGCUACAGAAAUUAAGAGAGUGUGAUACCUGGAUAAACAAAUAGGCCAAUGGAAUAAAAUAGAGCCAGUAACAUUCUCAUCCAUAUAUGGUCAUUUGAUUUAUGCCGAAUGUUUGACAGGAAAUCAAUGAAGAAAGCAUCAACUUUCAAAAAAAGGAAAAGAAAAUGAAGAAACUGCACCUUUCACAUAACGUACAAACAUUCAUGAUGGACCAUAAAUAUAAAUGUGAAAGAUGAAAUAAUAAAGAUUCUAAAAGGAAGCAUUGCAGAAUAUCUUCGUGAUCUUGGGGGUAUGCAAAGAUUUUUAAAAAUAGGAUACAAAGAAUAUAAACCAUAAGAGAAAAGCUUGAUACAUUGGAUUUCAUUAACAUGAAUGACUUCUAUGCAUCGUAAGUACUAUUAACAGAGAAGGCAAACCACAGACUAGUCGAAAAUAUUAGCAAUACACAUAUAUCUGACGAACGACUCAUACUCAGCAUAUAUAAAGAGCUCUCACAAAUCAAUAAACAAAGGACAUACAAUCUAAUUUUAAAAAUAGACAGCAAUGAUUGUUUCAGAAAAGAGGAUAUCCAAAUGUCAGUUGCUUAUGAAUAGGUGCUCAGUAUCAUUAUUUAUUUGGCUAAUUCAAGUUAAAACCUCAUGAUCCUCUGAGGGGAUGUAUGGGAACUCUGUAACUAUAACUGCUCAAGAGAAAGUCUGUUAGUUAAAAAAGUUAUUGAUAAGGGACAACAACAACAAACUCAUAGAAAAAAGAUCAGAGCUGUUAUCAGAGGUGGACAAUGCAGGGAGCAGUAGUUGGAAGGAGUCAAAAGGUACAAACUUCUGGUAAUAAAUUAAUAUUAGGGAUGUAGUAUACAACAUGAUCACUGUAGCCAACAGUGCUGUAGGAUAUAUAGGAAAGACAUUAAGAGAAUAGAUCCUAAGCAUUCUCAUCCCAAGGAGAAAAAUUUUUUUUCUUUUUUUUCUUCCUUUUUUCUUUUUUAAAAUUGAAUUUAAGAGAAGAUGUGUGUUAGUUGAAUGUAUUGUAGUAAUCAUUUCACACCGUAGGUACAUCAAACCAUCAUACUAUAUGCCUUAAACCUAUCCAGUGAUGGAUUAUUUGGGUGGCUCAGUCAGUUAAGUGUCCGACUCUUGAUUUUGGCUCAGGUCAUGAUCUCAGGGUUGUGAGAUCGAGCCCCAGUUCUGCACUGGGCCUGAAAUCUGCUUAAGAUUCACUCUCUCCUUCUCCCCCUCCCACUGCCCUCUCUCUCUCUCUCUAUAAAAACAAACAAAAAAACAACCAACCAACCAACCAAAAAAAAAAAAAAAACACCAAAAACUUAUACAGUGAUGUAUGUCAAUUAUUUCUCAGUAAAACUAGGGAUAAGACCCCCACGUGAUCCUCCAUCCUUCCCCACCCCAUAUCUUGAUAUGAUUAAAAGUAUUAAUAAAGGUAAUGUUAAUGAGGAUAUAGAGCAAUGGGAAUUCUUGUGGCUACAACCACUUUGGAAAACUGGCAGUAUUUAUUAAAGUUAAACAUAAGUAAAUCUAUGUCCAAACAUGCCACUGUGUAUACCAAAGACAAGCACAUUCCUAUGUUCAUCAAAGGACACAUAUAUGAAUAUUCUUAGCAAACUAAAAAAACUCAAAUAUUCAUUAAUCGUAGCAUAAAAAACAAAUUGUGAUAUAUUUCUACAAUGGAAAACUAUGUAUCAACGAAAAAGGACAAACUGCUACACACAAUAAAGAGGAUGAAUCUCAAAGAGAUAAAUUGAUCAAAAAGAAGCCAGAUGCAAGGAAGCAUUGUAAUCUCUGGUUCCAUUUGUAUGAGGUUCAAAAACAGUCGAAACAAAUCUAUGAUGUUGAAGGGCAGAAUGGUGACUAUCUUUAGGGUGGGGAGCCUUCUGGAGGGCUGGAUGUUUAUUUUGAUCUGAGUGGUGAUUUCAACAGUCUAUGUAAGUAUAAAAAUUGACUGAACUAUUCUAUUAAUAUUGGUACACUUUCUAUACAUUAUAUUUUUUCCAUCACUAAAUAGAACUUGAAGUGGAAUUUGAGUCUGUAGAUGCACGUCCUUUGAAUGCCAUCUUUUAAAAAUUGUGGUUAAAUAUAUAUUAUAUGAAAGUUACCAUUUUAACCGUUUUUAGGUAUUAUAUAGUUCAAUGGCAUGAAGUGUAUUGCAUUUUUGUGCAACCAGCACCACCUUCCCACUCUAGAACUUUUACUUCUUCCCAAACUGAAUGUUUGUACCCAUGAAACACCAACUUCCAUUCCUUCCUCUCCAACAGUGCCUGGCAACUACCCUUCUACUUUCUGUCUCUAUGGAUUUCACUACCCUACUUGGAAUUAUACAGUAUUUGCCCCUUUUGUGACUGGCUUAUUUCACUUAGCAUAUUGUCUUCAAGUUUUAUGCAAGUCAUGCCCUGUGUUGGAAUUUCUUUCUUUCUCUCUCUCUCUCUCUCUUUUUUUUUUUAAAGACUGAAUAGUAUCUAUUGUAUGUAUAUACUGCAUUUUGUUUAUCAAGGAUGCCUGGGUUUCUUUCCACUUUUUGACUAUUGUAAAUACUCCUGCUGUGAACGUGGGUGUACAAAUAUUUCUUCAUGUCCCUGCUUCCAAUUCUUUUAAUACUUUUGGGUAUAUAGCCAGAAGUGGAAUAGCUGGAUCAUGUAGUAAUUCUAUUUUUAAUUUUCUGAGGGACUGCCAUACUGUUUCCCAUAGCAGCUGCACCAGUUUACAUCACAGUGGUGCACAAGGAUUCAAAUUUCUCCACAUCCUUACCCACACUUGUUGUUCUCUUAGUUUUGUUUUGUUUUUGAUAAUAUAGUCAUCCUAACAAAUAUGGAGUGGUAUCCCAUUAGAGUUCUUGAUUUUCAUUUCCCUAAUGAUUAGCGAAGUUGAGCAUCUGUUCAUGUGCUUAUUAAUCAUUUGUAUAUCUUCCUUGGAGAAAUGUCUGUUUUAGUACUUUACCUGAAUCUGGUUGUUUGUGUUUUUGUCAUUCUUUAUAUAUUCUGGAUAUCAAUGUUUUGUCAGAUGUAAUUUUCAAAUAUCUUUUCUUUUUUUUUAA